UACGGAGGGUGCAAACGUUGCUCGGAAUCAUUGGGCGUAAAGCGCACGUAGGCGGUCCAGCAAGUCGGGUGUGAAAGCCCUCGGCUCAACCGAGGAAGUGCAUUCGAAACUACGGGACUUGAAUACUGAAGAGGAUCGCGGAAUUCCCGGUGUAGAGGUGAAAUUCGUAGAUAUCGGGAGGAACACCAGUGGCGAAGGCGGCGAUCUGGGCAGAUAUUGACGCUGAUGUGCGAAAGCGUGGGGAGCGAACGGG
rnacentral:rRNA from 1 species